UCUGAGCUGCGGAGUUCACUAACCUUGUCGUUCACAAUAGGCUUUCAUUGCUUUACUAAGUGGUUCAAGCUUCUUGGAUCUUAAAUUGCACCACAGAACCAUCCUGCCCCACUACCUUCAAAAUAAUAUGAUCGUUGUUCUCAGUCUCCGCUCCUCCCUUGGAUUUCUCCUGCAGCUGAGAUUCUCCUCAGCUGCGUCUUCACAAAAGAGCCAUAAAUACUGCUGAGAUUCACUCUCAGACAAGACAAGCUGAAAAAAACGACUCAAAAGCCAACCUGCCAAGAAGAUUCUGAGACCAGCCCAUCCUGGAUGAAGCAGAACCCAGCCAAGCUGCCUGGAAAAGGUUUAAGACCAGAGUUACUUCAAAAGGACACUGGCCAACAUGUUGAGUUGCCUUAGGCUGUGCAGUGUGUUCCAGGCUCCCAGCUUUUGUGAACUGUCACCCAUACUGGGCUGGGCUUUGGUGAUGUAGCUGUCUUUGAGUCAUUCCUGCUCCUGUAAGCAACCCCUCACCCAUAUUCCUGUAAGUAACCCUGAUAAGAUUCAUUGGUUCACCAAGCUG